rnacentral:rRNA from 1 species
GAUGAACACUGGCGGCGUGCCUAAUACAUGCAAGUCGAGCGAACAGACGAGGAGCUUGCUCCUCUGACGUUAGCGGCGGACGGGUGAGUAACACGUGGAUAACCUACCUAUAAGACUGGGAUAACUUCGGGAAACCGGAGCUAAUACCGGAUAAUAUAUUGAACCGCAUGGUUCAAUAGUGAAAGACGGUUUUGCUGUCACUUAUAGAUGGAUCCGCGCCGCAUUAGCUAGUUGGUAAGGUAACGGCUUACCAAGGCAACGAUGCGUAGCCGACCUGAGAGGGUGAUCGGCCACACUGGAACUGAAACACGGUCCAGACUCCUACGGGAGGCAGCAGUAGGGAAUCUUCCGCAAUGGGCGAAAGCCUGACGGAGCAACGCCGCGUGAGUGAUGAAGGUCUUCGGAUCGUAAAACUCUGUUAUUAGGGAAGAACAAAUGUGUAAGUAACUAUGCACGUCUUGACGGUACCUAAUCAGAAAGCCACGGCUAACUACGUG